rnacentral:rRNA from 1 species
GAUGAACGCUAGCGGCAGGCCUAAUACAUGCAAGCUGAACGGUAAGCUCUGUAGCAAUAUGGAGCCUAGAGUAGCGUAAGGGUGCGUAACACGUAUGCAAUCUGCCCACAACAGGAGGAUAGCUCUUCGAAAGAGGAAUUAAUACUUUAUAACACCAUUUGAGGGCAUCUGAGGAUGGUUAGACUACGGGGUUGUGGAUGAGCAUGCGCAUGAUUAGUUAGUUGGUGCGGGUAACGGCCCACCAAGACGAUGAUCAUUAGGGGAACUGAGAGGUUGGUCCCCCACACUGGCACUGAGAUACGGGCCAGACUCCUACGGGAGGCAGCAGUAGGGAAUAUUGGACAAUGGGUGAGAGCCUGAUCCAGCCAUGCCGCGUGCAGGAAGAAAGCCUUCUGGGUUGUAAACUGCUUUUUUCAGGGGAUAAAAUACCGGUGCGCCGGGAAUUGCAAGUACCUGGAGAAUAAGCCACGGCUAACUACGUGCCAGCCGCCGCCGUAA